rnacentral:rRNA from 1 species
UACGAGGGGGGCAAGCGUUGUUCGGAAUUAUUGGGCGUAAAGAGCUUGUAGGCGGUCUGUCGCGUCUGCUGUGAAAAUCCGGGGCUCAACCCCGGACUUGCAGUGGGUACGGGCAGACUAGAGUGUGGUAGGGGAGACUGGAAUUCCUGGUGUAGCGGUGAAAUGCGCAGAUAUCAGGAGGAACACCGAUGGCGAAGGCAGGUCUCUGGGCCACUACUGACGCUGAGAAGCGAAAGCAUGGGGAGCGAACAGG